CAGCCGCCGCGGGAAUACGAAGGGGGCUAGCGUUGCUCGGAAUGACUGGGCGUAAAGGGCGCGUAGGCGGCGAUCAAAGUCAGGCGUGAAAUUCCUGGGCUCAACCUGGGGGCUGCGUUUGAUACUUGAUUGCUAGAGUGGGGAAGAGGGUCGUGGAAUUCCCAGUGUAGAGGUGAAAUUCGUAGAUAUUGGGAAGAACACCGGUGGCGAAGGCGGCGACCUGGUCCUUGACUGACGCUGAGGCGCGAAAGCGUGGGGAGCAAACAGGAUUAGAUACCCGAGUAGUCCCUGUCUCUUAUAC
rnacentral:rRNA from 1 species